CGGGAGCUAGCACAGGUGCUGCAUGGCUGUCGUCAGCUCGUGUCGUGAGAUGUUCGGUUAAGUCCGCUAACGAGCGCAACCCUUGUCAUUAGUUGCCAUCAUUUGGUUGGGCACUCUAAUGAGACUGCCGGUGACAAACCGGAGGAAGUGGGGAUGACGUCAAGUCCUCAUGGCCCUUAUGGUAGGGCUUCACACGUCAUACAAUGGUCGGUACAGAAGGGUUGCCAACCCGCGAGGGGGAGCUAAUCCCACAAAGCCGAUCGUAGUCCGGAUCGCAGUCUGCAACUCGACUGCGUGAAGUCGGAAUCGCUAGUAAUCGUGGAUCAGCAUGUCACGGUGAAUACGUUCCCGGGUCUU
rnacentral:rRNA from 1 species